UCUAAGCAAAGGGAGACAUAAUUCAUAGCUCCUAUCAUGAGACAUAAAGCACUCUGCCAGGAGGUAUAUUCCAAACCAGCAUUGGCUCCUCUUCCUUACUCAAGAAACCAGUUUUUCACAAAACCAUCACCCCAUCCAAACUUUCCUUCAGGCUUCCUGGCCCUCGGUCAAGCAGUUAAGUCAUUCUGUUGCAGCCCUUAUUUAGGAACUGCUGGCAGGCUGGCUGAGGAACCAGGGAAUCGUGGAGGGAAAGAGAGCCAACUUCUGCAGCUUCCCAAAGCUGUACGACCACGCGCAAGGGCAGAACACUAUUUAUAGGAUCCCACCUAAGUUUCUUGGGGGAAUAAAGGAAGCAGGACGGUUGGUGGUGAGGUGACGAAGGAACAGUUACCACGGAGAUUGGAAGAGGACAACAAUCUCUGGGGAUGCAGUUGCUCCCAGAUCAGUCUUACCAGGAUGUAGACACAUUCCAGGGGAAAUUUCGCAGCACUCUCUACCGUUAUAUUUCCGAAGAAGCAGCAUCAACUGGUCUUUGCUGAGCUUCUGAGAUCCAAGUUGGAAGCCCUGGAAGGUGCUACAAUAAGGCAAUAGUUUCUAACAGGAUUUUUACUUUUCUAAAAAAAUAAGAAUUUGUUCCAUGUUUCUUAAAAUAUGUCUGCUUUUUGUAACAAAAAUUAAAAUUGGGCCAGGUGAAGUGGCUCACGCCUGUAAUCCUAGGACUUUGGGAGGCCGAGGCAGGUGGAUCACCAGAGGUCAAGAGUUCAAGACCAGCCUGUCCCAACAUGGUGAAACCCCCAUCUCUACUAAAAAUACAAAAAUUAGCCAGGUGUGGUGGUGCAUGCCUGUAAUCCUAGCUACUCAGGAGGCUGAGACAGGAGAAUCGCUUGAACCCGGGAGGCGGAGGUUGCAGUGAGUUAAGAUGGCACCACUGCAUUCUAGCCUGGGCGACAGAGUGAGACUGUCUCAAAAUAAAUAAAUAAAUAAUAAAUAAAUAAAUAAAAAGUUACCCCAUAAA